AACACAACUGUAGAGCUUUGACUGACAGACGUGCACUUUGAUACAUGCCUGACAAUCAGCUGUUAUCAGUAUUUUCUUCCUGUCUGACCUAGAUGAUUUUUAAAAGCCAUAAAGACAUCAGCAAGUACCACUGAACAGAUGAGAAUUAUUUGUCUAUGUUAUAUUUAUUACACAAGAAUUAUGCAACUUGUAUAAGUUCACGUUAAUAGAAACCUCCAACAUGUGUUGGGUCUUAAUUGAACUACAGCUAAAUUACAUCAUUAGUAAGAUUAUGUACAGAACAUUUAAUAGGUUUGUACGUUUUAAAAUAUGAUUUUUAUAAUGACUAUUACACAUAAUAUAUAGUAUAAUAUAUAUUUGUUUCGGAGUUAAUGUUUCGGGAAUCACACUAUACUGGACAGGCUGUUGCUCGGGGUAGAUUCAAAUGAGCCAGCUUUUAAGAGUCGUUCAUUCAGAGAUGGGACUACACUGGUAGCGCUGUAUGUUGCGCACUGUAGAUUCAAAAGGACCAACUCGUAAGAGUCAUCCGUUGGGGAAUCUGACUACACUGGUUAUGCUGUAUGUUGCGUGCUGUAGAUUCAAAAGAACCGACUCGUAAGAGUCAUCCGUUGGGGAAUCUGACUACACUGGUUAUGCUGUAUGUUGCACGCUGUAGAUUAAAAAGAACCAACUCGUAAGAGUCAUCCGUUGGGGAAUCUGACUACACUAGUAGUGCUGUAUGUUGCACAUAGUUUCAAAAGAACCGACACUGAAGAGUAAUUUGUUCGGGAAUCGGACUACACUGGUAGCACUGUUUGUUGCACGCAGUAGACUCAAAAGAACCGACUCAUAAGAGUCACUUGUUGGGGAAUCGGACUACACUGGUUAUGCUGUAUGUUGCACGCUGUAGAUUCAAAAGAACCAACUCGUAAGAGUCAUCUGUUGGGGGAAUCAGACAACACUAGUAGUGCUGUAUGUUGCACAUAGUUUCAAAAGAACCGACACUGAAGAGUAAUUUGUUCGGGAAUCGGACUACACUGGUUAUGCCGUAUGUUUUGUGCUGUAGAUUCAAAAGAACCGACUCAUAAGACUCAUUUGUUCAGAAAUCGAACCACUCCGGCUGCGCUGCAGUUGAAUUGUGCUGCUGUCAGAGUAUUUCAGAAACAUUGCAUGAACGGGAACCUCUAACAGAACCCAAAGUAAUGAAGACCAUAUGGUUACUGUGUUUAUAAAAAAAUGGAACCGGUUCUGAACAAGAUUCUCAACCCAAGUAUGAAGUAAAUAAUGCCAAUUUUGAUUUCAUGUCAACUUGAGUCACUUAAAUCAAUAGCAUAAUGUUGAUUAGUUGUACGUAUGUUUUCUUCUGAAGGGCAUGUACAAUGCAACCACAUGGCAAGUGGAGACUUGAGCUGUUGCCAUGUUUAAGAUACUAUGGCAUGCAUUUCUUUGCGUACAAUCCCCUGGCAGUGGGCUUCUCACUGGGAAGUAUCACUAUGAAGAUAAAGACGGAGAUCAGUCUGCGGGUCGAUUCUUUGGCAAUAACCGGGCUGGUGCUUACAGGGACAGGUGUGCAAAUAUCAAAGAUUCAGUUUGUUAAUAUUGAAACCAGUGGUUGAUUUGAUCAAAUCUAAUGUGUAAUGUUAUGUUUGUGAUAUUUUAUCUAACAUAAUGCUCUAAAGCUAAUAUUGAAGAGCUCUCUUAGAUUUAAUGGCCUCUGGUUUCAGAUAUUGGAAGGAAAGUCAUUUUCAGGCCAUAGAUGGUGUUGGGAAAGCUCUCGAAGCAGCAUAUGGCUCGGAGAAACCGGCGCUGACAUCAGCUGCUAUACGCUGGAUGUACCAUCACUCUCAACUCAAGGUGGGACAUAUCAGGAAAUGACAUAAAGCCACUUUGAUACAAUCACAGUGUUAAAUGACAAUGUUUGAAAGCCUUUGUAAUGAGCAAAUGUUUUAGUUGUUAGUCUUUCUUUCCCUUCGGUACAUUACUUAUUUUAGUUAAUACAUAUUGUUUUAGAAUUUAGGUUGAGCCGUUGUUCCACUAUAGAUAAUGUGAUUCACAAGACCAAGGCUGUGUUCGAAAUAGCAUACUACUUGUCCUAUUUACGCAGUAUAUAGUAUUGU